rnacentral:rRNA from 1 species
GAUGAACGCUGGCGGCGUGCCUAAUACAUGCAGGUCGAGCGAACGGACGAGAAGCUUGCUUUUCUGAUGUUAGCGGCGGACGGGUGAGUAACACGUGGAUAACCUACCUAUAAGACUGGGAUAACUUCGGGAAACCGGAGCUAAUACCGGAUAGUAUUUUGAACCGCAUGGUUCAAAAGUGAAAGACGGUCUUGCUGUCACUUAUAGAUGGAUCCGCGCUGCAUUAGCUAGUUGGUAAGGUAACGGCUUACCAAGGCAACGAUGCAUAGCCGACCUGAGAGGGUGAUCGGCCACACUGGAACUGAGACACGGUCCAGACUCCUACGGGAGGCAGCAGUAGGGAAUCUUCCGCAAUGGGCGAAAGCCUGACGGAGCAACGCCGCGUGAGUGAUGAAGGUCUUCGGAUCGUAAAACUCUGUUAUUAGGGAAGAACAUAUGUGUAAGUAACUGUGCACAUCUUGACGGUACCUAAUCAGAAAGCCACGGCUAACUACGUG